UACGUAGGGGGCAAGCGUUGUCCGGAUUUAUUGGGCGUAAAGAGCGUGUAGGCGGCCAUACAGGUCAGCUGUGAAAACUCGAGGCUCAACCUCGCGACGUCGGUUGAAACCGUAUGGCUAGAGUCCGGAAGAGGAGAGUGGAAUUCCCGGUGUAGCGGUGAAAUGCGCAGAUAUCGGGAAGAACACCCGUGGCGAAGGCGGCUCUCUGGGACGGUACUGACGCUGAGACGCGAAAGCGUGGGGAGCGAACAGG
rnacentral:rRNA from 1 species